GAGUGCUUUUGAGAUAAGGUACCAGAAUAUCACUUGGAAUAUAAAUUCUGCAUCACUAGCACAUGGGCUCCUGCCAGUUCUGCUGAGCCUGUCACUUGUUAUGUUUUCUCAUAUCCUUGAGAGCCUGCAACAGAGUGCUGUUGGAAGCUUACAUUACAAAUUUCUGCAGAAUAUCAGAUGUAUUCUAGUUCUUCUCAUGUUCUCAGUCUGCUCUCCUCAGGCUUGAAAUCCAUCCAGUUGUGGAAGAAGACAGCCACUGCUACAACAUGGGGGAGUUUACUCAUGGGAUGCAAGCAGCAAGGAAAGAGGAAGAAGCCAGUUAAGGAUACAAAAGGAUGCCUGGGGAGCAUGCCAAAUAUAUCCUUGCAGGUACCCAGAGCUCCCCUGGACAAGAUCCUGAGUGCCUGUUUGAUUUAAAUGUUGGUCGUGUUGGAGCAAGGGUUGAAUUACUGAUCUUCAGAUGUCCCAUCUAACAUGAAUGAGGACACACAGAAGAAAAACCAAACAAAAUCCAUUGGUUAUCCAGAUGGAAAACAGCAAUGGCUGGCCAUGACCAGCAUCACCAGCAUUUCCAGAAGGUAACAAAGUUUGGAAAUAAAACAUUUGUGAAAGGUGUGAGAUUGAAGGAUAUCCUUGAAUCCUGCCUUUCAGUUCAAGCCACAAAUUACAGGAAGGGAAACUAUCUGGCACCCCUUUGCCCCCCAUUUGAGAUACCUCCCAAGGUUGCUUUUCAAGGACAAAGGAUAUUCAGUACAG